rnacentral:rRNA from 1 species
GACGGGGGAUGCAAGUGUUAUCCGGAAUCACUGGGCGUAAAGCGUCUGCAGGUGGUUUCCUAAGUCCACUGUUAAACCUUGAGGCUCAACCUCAAAUCUGCAUUGGAAACUAGGAGACUUGAGUAUAGUAGGGGUAGAGGGAAUUUCCAGUGGAGCGGUGAAAUGCGUAGAUAUCAGGAGGAACACCGGUGGCGAAGGCGGGUCUCUGGGCCGAUACUGACGCUGAGGAGCGAAAGCGUGGGGAGCGAACAGG